AUGGCAUACGAUAUGCUCGAUGCGAUUAACAAUGGGAAGGAUUCCUGGAAAGUGAAGGUCAGAGUAAUUAGGCUAUGGGACGCCAUUAACCUCAAUAACAAUGAACUAAUUAGCCUUGACAUGAUACUGCUUGAUGAACAGGGCACUAUGAUACAUGCGAAGGUAAUAAAACAUAUGGUUAACAAGUUUAGGCCAUUGAUCCAAGAAGGUUUAGUCUACAUGAUAGCAAAUUUCAAGGUUACAUCUGCCAUGAAUUUCUGUCCAGUUGAAGGCGACAAGAUUAUUAACUUCUUGCACACAACAAAAAUUCAAGAGAUUAAGGGACUUAAAAAUAUCAGAAUAGCAGAACAAAGUUUCAUGUUUUGUAGUGUUGAAGUUCUUUCCAGAAGAGAUGGCCAGAGGAUGUACUUAUCCGAUGUCAUUGGGGUAGCAAGUUAUAUAGGGAAUAUUGAAGAGACGGAGACAACUCAUGGGAUUUCCAAGAUUCGAGAUAUUGUACUUCGAAUUGAGGAUCAAAAAGUUAAUAUUAGACUCUGGGGCAAUAAGGUUGACCAAAUUGAUGAAGAUUCUAUGGGACGUGUUGUCAUAGUAACAUCAACAACGGUCAGAAAAUUGAAAGAGUACUCGCUGUCAUCUACAGGUGCGACCAAAGUAUAUAUCGAUUUGGAUAUCCUUGAAACAGCUGAGCUCCAAACGAGGUAUUGCUUGGAAGAUGAUAUCAUAGAGGAAACAGGGCCGGAAGCCCACUUGCAAGGAACAAUUCAAGAACAAAUGCUCUAUAACAGAAAUACACUAAGAGAAAUAACUGAAAUUGCAUAUGAAUCUGAAAAACAGGAAAAGUUCUAUACUGCAGAAGCAACCAUUAAGUCAAUUGAUACAUCAGAUGAGUGGUACUACAUAGGAUGCGGCAAAUGUAACAAAAAACUACAAAAAGAAGGGAAUCACUUCUACUGUCCAAAAUGUGAGAAAGAACCUGAGAAGACAUGUCCAAGGUACAAACUUAAGCUAGAGAUAUGUGAUCAUACUGCAACAACAACUUGCACCAUGUUUGAGACAGAAGCAAAAAAACUGAUUAAGCAAUCUGCAAGAUUCUUGAUAGAUAGGGAUGACUGUGAUAUCCAUGAGCACGAAGAAUUUUUUUAG
rnacentral:rRNA from 1 species